UGUAUUUUCUGUAUAUCUGCAGUCAUGCAAGGACAUGAUUUCUUGAUGCCUUCGAUGUAACUCUUUGCACUACGUCGUGCUGAAACAUCUUGCAUGAAAGCGCGGCAUCAAACAUGUGUACAGGAGUAUAUGCAGCUUUGGACAUGAAGAAUGGUUGAUCUUCGGGCACGUUCGCAAAACUUUGAGUCUAAUAAUUAAGCAACAUUUUAGUUAAAGGAAACACAAAUUUACAUUUUCAUCUAAUUGUAGUCAUGUGGUAGUGUGUAUAUAAAACGUUUGUCAAUGUUGUAAUUUCACCGAAAAAUAUUCGUACCACCACACUUUAUUGGGACUCGUCAAAAGUGUGUUACACUGUGUCUUGCAAAUAAACCUCUGCUUUCCCAUGGCAAAAGCUUUACAUUUAUUUAGCAUGCGAACACUCCUCGUUCAAUGCUAUUUUAGGCAGCCGCAAACAUCCUGAAAAACACUGACUUGCCAAUGUAAGAAUCGAAAUAUGCCCUAUAAAAAAAAAAGCAGGAAAAUCUGCCAAUGUAUUAUAUCACCAUUGUGCGUCCCCUCUUAGUUGUGUGUUCAGUGCCCCAGCAGUCAUGCACGAGCAAAUUUUUCAAUUUUCUUUUCUUGAAUAUUCCAAGCACCAACAUUCUCAGGGCAAAUGCUUUGGAUCCAAUUAAUGAUUGUGCUUGCAGCGAUAAUGGGUUCAGUAUGGCAUCAUAUGUCUUUCACGAUUUGUAUGGAGCGCUGGGCAACGUUAUUCCAAUGUCUGUGACCAAUGAGCCGGGUGACUGAACAUAGUGCACUCAAUAGAAGCACAAGUGCUACUCUGAAAACGUGGCAGCCAAAGUAGCUGAAGGCUGCUUUGCCUGCUGUUAGCAGGUACAUUUUUAUAAAAAAAAAAAGGUGCCUGCUUGUUUAUUUUUCCCGGCACCUCCACUGCAGCUGAUGGUUGUAGUGGCUCCAUCUGGUUGUGGAGAACUCUAGCAGUGCUGUGACCUUCAAGAUUAGGCAGCAUCAUAAAGUGAUAUUGGAGGCUAUGUAUGUUUAGGAUCAGUGUACGAUGGCCUGAUAAAUGCAGGCAUUGCUUUUACAGUAAUAACGAUAGCUGGUAGGAGGAAGCCACUGAGGCUGCAAUAGGCUUUGAAUGGAUAUAGUUCAUACAUUUGGUUUGCUGCUCUAGAAUUUCUACAUCUACACAAAGGAUGACUAAAAAUGGACACUGCAAACAUAUGUGUGAACUUUCAUCUGCUCAUUGUAGGCCAGGCACGCGUCUUACGUACAAUUAUACUGCUGCAUGGCAAUGUAUCAUUGCCUGGCAGGUGCACAUUGUGUAUAUGUAAUAUGCCUAUGUGAUUUCCAGCUAGGCUAGGUAAGUAGUUGGAAGUUUUUGUACUUGUUCAUUGUCCAGUGACGGCGCAUCUCGGUUGCAUUUGAUCCCAGAUUUUUGUGUUUGCAGACAUCGACUGAAAACAAAUCCACAAAUUCAAGCAAAAAGUUGCUAUAUCCAUUGAAAUUGUGCAUGAAAAAUUGAUUUUGCUUGGUUCUUUUAAAUGCAUGGCGAAUCACAGAAUAAAAUCUGCAUAUUCUUGAAAAAAAAAA
rnacentral:lncRNA from 1 species